rnacentral:rRNA from 1 species
UACGAAGGGGGCUAGCGCUGCUCGGAAUUACUGGGCGUAAAGCGCACGUAGGCGGAUUGUUAAGUCGGGGGUGAAAUCCUGGAGCUCAACUCCAGAACUGCCUUCGAUACUGGCGAUCUCGAGUUCGAGAGAGGUGAGUGGAACUGCGAGUGUAGAGGUGAAAUUCGUAGAUAUUCGCAAGAACACCAGUGGCGAAGGCGGCUCACUGGCCCGAUACUGACGCUGAGGUGCGAAAGCGUGGGGAGCAAACAGG